rnacentral:lncRNA from 1 species
ACAAAUUCAUAGGCCAUCAUCCUACUAAAAAAUUCAUAUGCCACCAGUUUAUCAUCAUCAUUCACACCUAAUUUCUCAAACAUUCCAUCAACGAAUUUAUCGUCAAAGAUUAGGUGUGGCAUCAUAGUCCAACAAUGCCUCCAUUUCUUCGACAAAAUGCUAGUUCUCACUGCAUCCCUUAUUGGCAUAAAACAUAGAAUAGUUUCUCGUACGUUCUGAGGCAGCUCGCUGAUUCUAUCUUCCUUGAUACUACCAAUUUUUUUCACACUAGAUUCUGCCAUUCUGUUGGAUCUGCAAUAAGAAAAUGCCAACACAGUUGCUAGAAAUUAACUUACAUUUUAGGGUUUUCUCUUCUAAAUUAUAAUUAGGAUUCAAGUAAAAUAUAGAAAAGUGAUCCCGGUUACGAUGUACCGGACCAAAUUACAAACCAACAACCAAAUUCUUGCAUGUUUGGCUUUAAUAAUUAGUUUAACACAAGUUAGAUUGCUCAGCUGUUAAGUACAUUGACAACACAACCUAAUCAAAUCGGCAAUUGAAAUUGAAAACUAAGAGAUAUAAAAACAUAUAUGAAUAAGCAAAGGCAGCACAAAAACAUACCACAAAUACAUAGAUGCAAUCCAGAAAUGAAAUAUGAACAUUGAGAAAUCUUCUUCUACAUGAAGAGUGAGUUUUCACUUUGCUUGCCUGGCAGCCUGUAUCCAAUAAUACCAAACCCGUGUAUCCGAACGGUCACGACUCACGACUCGCACUAAUUUGUUUAUGGGUUGGGCCAAAAUUCUAAAAAUGAAAAAGGGGACCGGAUAAAACGAAGGCUCAUUUUAAAAUUAGUGUUCUAAAAAUCCGAUUUAACCGAUUAAUCCCGAUUAAUAUCCUGCAAACUUUUUUUUUGAGAGAAUAUAUCCUGCAAACUUGGUUACUGAUUCGACUUUUGAAAUCCGAUUAAUCUUUAUAUAUAUAUAUUUCUUAAUCAAAAUAUAUACAAUAAAUUUUUAAAAUUAAACUAUUAUAUUACUUUAAAUAGCUAAUAUAAUGACAACUGAAUAUUAAAUAAUAUUUUAAUAUUAAAAUAAAUCCGAUUAAUCCUGAUUUCCGAUUAAUCUCUGAAUCAGUAGUUCAAUCGAUUAGGUCCGAUUCCCGAUUGUUUAAGACUAAUAUUUCCUCCGUCCUGGGUUGAAAUAGUGUGAUUAAGAAACAACUUUCAUUUAUUAUUUAAAAAAGAAAUUUUGGAAUAAAAAUAUAAAUUAUAAUUUUUUAUUAAAGAAAAAUUAAAAAAUAAUAAGGGGAGGUAUAUAUUUUUAAUCACUUUAAACUAUUGUGAAAAGUCAAAAUGAUAACUAAAAAUAUAAUAAAAGAAUAUCAUUAUUUAUAAAUAUGGAAAAUUCGAGGAAGAGUACACAGAGGAGUGUAGAUAAGUAAGUAGUUUGAAUGCGGAGGUAAUUUCGCAACAUCUCGUAUCAAUUGAAAACAAAUAUUCUGGACCUUUUAUAAUUUUUUGUCAAAUCACAAUAAUGUAUGCUGACAGCUUCUUGUACUAAUUUUUGUUAAAUAAUGUGAAAAUUUGAUCGGUUCAAGUUACGCAAUAUUAUUUGAUCAAACUAGUUUAGAAGCCGCACGUUAUGUACGGCGGUUUAUAAAAAAUAUAUUAAUGAUUUAAAAUUAAUAUUUGUAGAAUAAAAUAAAUGUGACAAAGCUCAGUAAUGAUUCAAAAUUAAUUUUUGCAGAAUAAAAUCAAUUUUAUAUUAUAUACAUCUCGAUGUAAAACCAAAAUUAAUAUAUAAAAUUAUAAAAUUGGACUAUAAUUCAUGAGUAAAAAAAAGAAAAUAAUUUUUACAUGUAAUUAACGAUUUAAAUCACAACGAAUCUUAAUUUUAGUUGUGUUUUUUUAAAAGUAGUCAUGCUCUCAACUAACAUUGACAUUAAUUUUUUCAAACAUUACUUAUUAGACAUAUACAAUACACCCCACAUGUAAAAAAAAGCAUACGGUAAUUUAACAUAACUGAUUGAUGACAUGUGGCAAUAUACAUUGAUUGCGUUAAAGAGGGGACUUGUAUCCUCUUGGUCACAGGUUCGACCCCCGAAAGGAGCGAUAUUUGUGAUUAUGCUUCCUGAGCCAGAGUCUGUCGCUUAAAUGCGGUUUACCUUGGUUCACGUGGUUGGUUUGCAGGCUAUUACGUGACCUCGUGGGUUUACUGCACUCAAAGGGUAGCGGCUGAGAGAUGUGUUCAAAUGAAGGGAAGCUAUUCUUUAUUAAAUAAAAAUAAUUUAGGAUAUUGAACACUGAAGCACAUUAUCUUAGUAGCAUCUCCAACAGCUUAACUAUAUGGGUAUAUCCAAUAGUCUCCUAGUUGGCUCUUCGUAAGUUAGUGUAUUAUUAGAAGUGUGAACUCCAAUAAUGCUUUUUAUAUUCACUCCUAACAUUAUAUUUUAUUAUUAUUUGAACUCCACUAUGACAAAAACUGAAAUUCAAAUGGGUGAGUGAACAUUGUAUUAUAAAAAAAAUGGUUAAAAGCCAUGUAAUGGCUCUUAAAAGAGAAAGAAGAGACUCUUAGUAUUUGCCCACGGGUGCAAAUAAGCUCACUUCAAAAAGUUUAACUCCAGAUUUCAAAUUACUAAUCGUCCCGAAAGUUCAGGUGUGAAAUUUCUGCUCUUAAUAAUCAAAAAAAAGAUGCAGCUGCAAAGGCAGAUAAGCACAAACAUUUACUGCAUUUAUCUAUACUAUGUUUUGGUUUUUUUUAUCUCCAGCCUACUUGAUAUUUAGUUAUUUAAAUCUUUGUUUAGUUUUAAGUUCAAGAAACCUAAUAUUUUGAACACUUGAACGGCUAGCAUAUUUGUUGUAUAUAACUUUCGAUAAGUUUAGACAAUUAAGAUAAUAAAGCUAAAUUAAGCAAAUCUUAGGAUACAAGAGAUGCAGUCCACAUACAUGAUCUAGGUGGUAAUGAAGAUAGAAACACAAAAGCACAUGGUCAUGACUGUAGCAGAUAUAAAACAUUGAAAGUUGCCACUUAACACAGAUACAUUUGUUGCAAAUGUUCUACUAAACAGCUGUUUUUUAUCUUCUUUUUGUUACUCCAAAGUGGCUAGAAAGCAGGAGCCAGAAGCUUGACUGCAAGUCUGCAACAAGGCUAUCUAUAUCUCAUACCCACACCAAAGUUCAUCAUCAAAAGCAUCGAUCUCAAUACUGUGUUCUAAGUGUUUGACUUGUGCUAUUGUUGAAGCUCUAGGAUAUUGCAAUAUCUCCUCUGUCAGUUUUAAUGCUACACCACUUUUAAUGCUUACAUCACGGUGACGGUGAAUGAACAUUGUUUUGAGCAAUGGAGAGUGAGCAAGUACAAACUUGACUAGCUCCAACUCAGCUCUGAGACCUCUGAAAUAAUUGAACGAGACAAUCUGAAGAUGACCUGUAGUAGUACAGUCUUCAGAAUCUUCUAUCCGAUAAUUUUGGAGAUCGUUUUCACCAUCACAAUUUUCAUCAUCACAAUCCUCAUCGCCAUCACAAUCCGUAGCCUAAUAUUACAGAAAACAUUAUUCGAUUGUCAAACAGUAGCUAGCUAUAGUGAAACAGAAUGAACUAAAGUGCAUACGACUCACCGAGAUAUAUAAUUUGCACAAGUUGGGAGCACUCCGAAUCAUACAAAGCAAACAAGAAACCUCAGACAAGUGGGUGAAAUGUAUAUCAGCGAUGCUUAAAGUCUUUAGGUAGGGAAGUGACUUAGAAAGUCUAUUGGGACAACCGCCUUUAGCCAAGUACUUCAAAACACAGAAUGAAUACAUAUUCAAUUAAAUUUUUGUAAGUAAACGUUAGAGUUUGAACAGGCAAUCUAAAAGAAAAUCUAAAUAUUACCUUCAGAAAAUCCCUUGCUGCAGAGAACUUCUCAAUUUUGUGUAAACUACCGAGAUACUUGACCACAUUCGAUGUUUUCAACUCCUUUAGUGUGCCUAGUUGUGCCAACAUUAAUGAAUAUUCUGUAAGGUUCUCUAACCCAGCGUAAGGGAUUUCGGUAGUUGCUUCCCGAUAUAUUUGAUGCAGGCAAUUGAGAUUAGGAGCGUGGAAGUUGGUAUGGAACAGUCCAUCACAAAGUAUCAAGCUCAACUUCUCAAGCACGGGGCAAUCAAAGAUGUUUUUUUUGAAACUAUAAGCAUCAUCAGUAUAAUGGGCAUGAACUAGCUCAAGAAUCUUCAGAUGAGUAAAUCUUCCAAAUGUAGGUUUAUAGGGAAACCAAACACUUAUCAGCCUCAAAUGGGUAAGAUCUAAAGAGGAAAAAUGGUGUGCCGUAACGUGUCGAAGCAGAUAGUCAUCCAGAAUAACUUCCUUGGUACCUCUGACUGAUAAUAACGGAAUCCACUGAUCAAUAAAAUCAUGAAGUAGUUGAGCAUCACAAUUAUAAUGAGGAUUAUAAUAAGGUAUGGUGAAUGAAAAUUUAAGGAUUGGACCCUUGUGGAGUAGAAUAAUUUUAUUUAUCCUACUAACUAAUCCAUAGGCAUUAAGUCUAUCAUCACCAUCGCGACCUAAUUUCCUUAAGAUUCGAUUAACGAAUUCUUCGUCAAAGAUUAGGUGUGGCAUCAUAGUCCAACAAUGCCUCCAUUUCUUCGACAAAAUGCUAGUUCUCACUGCAUCCUCUAUUGGCAUAAAACAUAGAAUAGUUUCUCGUACGUUCUGAGGCAGCUUGCUGAUUCUAUCUUCCUCGAUACGACUGGUUUUUU